rnacentral:rRNA from 1 species
CAGUCGAGGGGCAUCGGGGCGAGGAGCAAUCCUUGCCGCCGGCGACCGGCGCACGGGUGAGUAACGCGUAUGCGACCUGCCCGUUGCAGGGGGAUAAUCGGGAGAAAUCCCGUCUAAUACCGCGUAACGCCGCGGGGCUGCAUGGCCCUGCGGCCAAAGGGAGCGAUUCCGGCAACGGAUGGGCAUGCGUGACAUUAGCUAGUUGGCGGGGCAACGGCCCACCAAGGCGACGAUGUCUAGGGGUUCUGAGAGGAAGGUCCCCCACACUGGUACUGAGACACGGACCAGACUCCUACGGGAGGCAGCAGUGAGGAAUAUUGGUCAAUGGGCGCGAGCCUGAACCAGCCAAGUCGCGUGAGGGAUGACGGCCCUACGGGUUGUAAACCUCUUUUGUCGGGGAGCAAAUUCCGUUACGUGUAACGGAGUCGAGAGUACCCGAAGAAAAAGCAUCGGCUAACUCCGUGCCAGCAGCCGCGGUAAUACGGAGGAUGCGAGCGUUAUCCGGAUUUAUUGGGUUUAAAGGGUGCGUAGGCGGAUUUUUAAGUCAGCGGUAAAAUGUCCGGGCUCAACCCGGGCCGGCCGUUGAAACUGGGGAUCUUGAGUGGGCGAGAAGUAUGCGGAAUGCGUGGUGUAGCGGUGAAAUGCAUAGAUAUCACGCAGAACUCCGAUUGCGAAGGCAGCAUACCGGCGCCCGACUGACGCUGAGGCACGAAAGCGUGGGGAUCGAACAGGAUUAGAUACCCUGGUAGUCCACGCAGUAAACGAUGAAUGCUAGUUGUCCGGU